rnacentral:rRNA from 1 species
GAAUUGAAGCCCCAGUAAACGGCGGCCGUAACUAUAACGGUCCUAAGGUAGCGAAAUUCCUUGUCAGGUAAGUUCUGACCCGCACGAAAGGCGUAACGAUUUGGGCGCUGUCUCAGCUGUAGACUCGGUGAAGUCUUAGUACCUGUGAAGAUGCAGGUUACCCGCGACUAGACGGAAAGACCCCAUGGAGCUUUACUGUAGCUUGAUAUUGGACUUUGAUGCAAGAUGUACAGGAUAGGUAGGAGACUGAGAGACAUGCACGCCAGUGUGUGAGGAGUCAAUGUUGGGAUACUACUCUUCUUGUAUUGGAGUUCUAACCGGAUGCCAUGGAACUGGCAACGGGACAGUGUCAGGUGGGCAGUUUGACUGGGGCGGUCGCCUCCCAAAGAGUAACGGAGGCGCCCAAAGAUACCCUCAGCUUGGAUGGAAAUCAAGCGCAGAGUGCAAAGGCAUAAGGGUGUUUGACUGCGAGACCUACAAGUCGAGCAGGGACGAAAGUCGGGCUUAGUGAUCCGGCGGUGCUGAAUGGAAAGGCCGUCGCUCAACGGAUAAAAGCUACCCUGGGGAUAACAGGCUGAUCUCCCCCAAGAGUUCACAUCGACGGGGAGGUUUGGCACCUCGAUGUCGGCUCAUCGCAUCCUGGAGCUGAAGUCGGUUCCAAGGGUUGGGCUGUUCGCCCAUUAAAGCGGUACGCGAGCUGGGUUCAGAACGUCGUGAGACAGUUCGGUCCCUAUCUGUCGUGGGCGUAGGAAGUUUGAGAAGAUCUGUCCUCAGUACGAGAGGACCGGGAUGGACAUAUCAAUGGUGCACCAGUUGUCACGCCAGUGGCACAGCUGGGUAGCUAAAUAUGGAAGGGAUAAACGCUGAAGGCAUCUAAGUGUGAAACCCACUUCAAGAUGAGACUUCCCAUUACGCAAGUAAGUAAGACCCCUUAAAGACGAUAAGGUUGAUAGGUCAGGAGUGUAAGCAUGGCGACAUGUUCAGCGGACUGAUACUAAUAGGUCGAGGACUUAACCU